rnacentral:rRNA from 1 species
AGUGAACGCUGGCGGUAGGCCUAACACAUGCAAGUCGAACGGCAGCACAGUAAGAGCUUGCUCUUACGGGUGGCGAGUGGCGGACGGGUGAGGAAUACAUCGGAAUCUACUUUUUCGUGGGGGAUAACGUAGGGAAACUUACGCUAAUACCGCAUACGACCUACGGGUGAAAGCAGGGGAUCUUCGGACCUUGCGCGAUUGAAUGAGCCGAUGUCGGAUUAGCUAGUUGGCGGGGUAAAGGCCCACCAAGGCGACGAUCCGUAGCUGGUCUGAGAGGAUGAUCAGCCACACUGGAACUGAGACACGAUCCAGACUCCUACGGGAGGCAGCAGUGGGGAAUAUUGGACAAUGGGCGCAAGCCUGAUCCAGCCAUACCGCGUGGGUGAAGAAGGCCUUCGGGUUGUAAAGCCCUUUUGUUGGGAAAGAAAAGCAGCAGGUUAAUACCCCGCUGUUCUGGCGGUACCCAAAGAAUAAGCACCGGCUAACUUCGUG